ensembl:ncRNA lncRNA:CR13130 long non-coding RNA:CR13130
CUACUUUGACUUUGACUUCGAACCGAAAACACGUCCGUAUUCAAGCGCGAGUGGUGAGCGAAUAACCGAGUCGAGUCAGAGUCAGGUUGCUUCUGCUCGCCGACAUCGACGUCCACGGCCCUCAGGAACAAGUUGAAGUUGCAACACAACUCACCACCAACACCACCACCACUAUCGCUCGGCGGCGGCAGCGAAACAGCUGCCCACUCCACCGACGCAGUGGUGGAUAAGCAACCCCUGCACUGAGAAAUAAAUAAGUUUCCAAAAUAUGCUCAGUGCAUUGGAACGGAAUGGAAACGAAACAGAGGUCCUGUCAACCUGUUGGUUUUACCGCCAUACAUGAGUAAUGCCUCGUACUCACCACCCAUUCGGCAGCAUAAUCAUAAUCAUAAGUUGCUAAGUUAAUUGCGCAGCACUGAUCAAUAACACAGAUUCCAGAUUCCCGGGACCCAAAGAUGAUGAUGAUGAUGAUGGUUGCGACGAUGAGAAUGAGGAUGAUGAUGAUGAUGAUGGGGAACACAGGCAGCUGGGCCUGGGAGCAGCUUUCAUUGAAAGCAUUUCCCUUUUUCGACACAUUAAUGAAAUGUAAAAUAAUCUGCCCGAAUGGGCAAAAACUUUCAUUAGAUGAGUUGGGCAUGCCACUUUUGUGGUUAACUCGGUGUAUUAAAAUAAAACUGAUUUCGAUCCCAGGACCAUCACACUGGAAUUCGCCAAGGGAAAAUUAUAGUUAUGAUAUAGUUGCUAUAAUAGUUAGUAUAUAUAAAAUUAUACAUAUUUUAUUCCCGAACAUAUCGAUAAUAAGAUAAUAAAUUAAAACACAUCCAUUAUAGAUU